rnacentral:tRNA from 5 species
UGGGAGAACAUUUUAAAAUUAUUGAAUAUCCUAAACAACAACAACCUGGGAAGUUGUUUCAAUUAUUAAGGGAUAAACUGUCAAAUUCC